rnacentral:rRNA from 1 species
CGUACACUCCUACGGGAGGCAGCAGUGGGGAAUAUUGGACAAUGGGCGCAAGCCUGAUCCAGCCAUGCCGCGUGAGUGAUGAAGGCCCUAGGGUUGUAAAGCUCUUUCACCGGUGAAGAUAAUGACGGUAACCGGAGAAGAAGCCCCGGCUAACUUCGUUCCAGCAGCCGCGGUAAUACGAAGGGGGCUAGCGUUGUUCGGAUUUACUGGGCGUAAAGCGCACGUAGGCGGACUAUUAAGUCAGGGGUGAAAUCCCGGGGCUCAACCCCGGAACUGCCUUUGAUACUGGUAGUCUUGAGUUCGAGAGAGGUGAGUGGAAUUCCGAGUGUAGAGGUGAAAUUCGUAGAUAUUCGGAGGAACACCAGUGGCGAAGGCGGCUCACUGGCUCGAUACUGACGCUGAGGUGCGAAAGCGUGGGGAGCAAACAGGAUUAGAUACCCGUGUAGUCCCAU